CCCCUUUUAAGGUUGAUUGAAGUUGAUUAAUACUUGAAGAACAUUCUUCAAUCCUCAAGAUAAAAAGCAAUACUCUUGCACGAAUAAUUGUUCGAGAUCAUGUGCUUUUUCAUAUUUCAAACUUCUGCUACAUCACUUUGGUAACUUUAAUUCAUCCCAUUGAUUUGAGGAAAUUGUUGUGGAAAUAUGUCAUAUAACACUAUGCAUUAUAAUUAUUUCAAUUGAUAAUAUUAUGUUGCAAGUUAAUGUGAGGGAACAACAUCAUUUUAUCUUUUCAUCAAAUCUUAAGAUUAGAUAUAAAAUCUAAAUUGGAAAAAAUUACUUAGUACUUUUUUUUGUUUAAGAUCUUAAUUUUCCAAGUUAUGGAAUGUAAAAUGAUUACAAUAUGUUAUAUGUAAGGUAUGAUUUUAAUUACACUUUAUACAUGUGAUAUGUUUUAUAAGUUUUUUGUGUUAUAUUUUUUAUCUGGGUUUAAUAGAAUUUAAAGAUUGCUAAAAUCAUAGCUUAAUUAAUACUAGUAGCUUGUAAUAUUACAUCAUGUAUUAUAUUUGUCUUAAUAUUUUAUAUUUGAUCACUUUAUUUGAGUUUGGUAUUUGAAAAAAGUAAUCACAAAAUAAAUUAUCUUCUGGUUUAUUCACAAAAACUUUCUCAUUAAUGUUUCACACUUAUCUAGAAAGGAAACAAAACUUUAAUUUGAAUUUAUGAAGUAAUUGCAGGUCAUGAGUUUUGAGUCUCUUCAAAUCUCUGAUCUAUAUUUAUCAACUAUAUAUUAUGAUAACUAACUCAGAAAAUAGGAGGAGAAAAACAUGUGUUCAACUGUGAUAUGAAGAUGAAUAUUGGCAAAUAAAAUGAAUAUAGAAUGUCAAAACGAGAAGUAUUUGAUAAAUUUACCUGUGAUUCGUCAUCUGUCAUAUUUAAUCUUUGCUCAGCGUAGGAAUACCUUUCAUACCUUUCGAUAAUUUUUUCCAUACUACAAGAUAAAGAGGAAGGCAAAAGAUGAACCUCGAAAUAAUAAUAAUAAUAUUCAUAUUUAUUUUAUAAUUAUUGUCUCAAUUUAAUGAUGUAUUGGGAAAAGGUUAGCAAAUUACAAUAUUUUGCAUUCGUUUACCAAAGAUGAUUACAGCAUUAGAAGUUUCACAUCAAUAUUUAAACUCUGUACUCUUUUAGAAGUAAAAAAGGGUAUAAGAAAGUUUCAACUUGCAUAUUGUCAAUAUUUGUGUAUAGCACAUUUGCACAUUGAUACUUUUGACUUCGAAGCUAAUUCUAAUUAAUCUAAAUAGUAAAAUAAUAAAAAAUUUUGAUAAAGCAUCAAACAUUAGUUCGGUAAUUCAUCUAUGAGACCUAUCUAAAAGAAUCUUCAAUGGAGCUGUGAAUUGCAUAAAAAACUGUGCUACAUCAUUCCAAAUGCUUACAUUGCAAGGAAAAAAGUGGAGGGUAUGUUAGACAUCCUCCAUUUCAUUUUUUUUUUUUU
rnacentral:lncRNA from 1 species